AUGGGAACGCGAAGAACCUUACCUAGACUUGACAUCUCCUGAAUAGUGUAGAGAUACAUGAAGCCCUUCGGGGCAGGAAGACAGGUGGUGCAUGGUUGUCGUCAGCUCGUGUCGUGAGAUGUUGGGUUAAGUCCCGCAACGAGCGCAACCCUUAUCAUUAGUUGCUACCAUUUAGUUGAGCACUCUAGUGAGACUGCCCGGGUUAACCGGGGGGAAGGCGGGGAUGACGUCAAAUCAUCAUGCCCCUUAUGUCUAGGGCUACACACGUGCUACAAUGGUGAGAACAACGAGAUGCAAUACCGCGAGGUGGAGCAAAACUUCAAAACUCAUCUCAGUUCGGAUUGUAGGCUGAAACUCGCCUACAUGAAGUUGGAGUUGCUAGUAAUCGCGAAUCAGAAUGUCGCGGUGAAUACGUUCCCGGGUCUUGUACACACCG
rnacentral:rRNA from 1 species